ACAUCCCAAUGCCCACGUCAUGGAGGCCCAUCUACGGCAGACUUCACUGCCCAGCCCGACCACCCGGGACUGACCGGCUUCCAGAAGGAGCAGGCGAGGCCGGGCUCAGAGCCUCCAGGGUCUCUGCUUAAACAACAUCAACCUGUGACGUUUGGUCUUUGGUUAUUAAGAAUAAGAAUAAGAAUACAAGGAUGGAGACAAAGAAGAAGAAAGAGGAGGAAGAAAACAAAAUCACAUGGACUAGAUAAUGUAGCGCUGUUACAAACGGGGAGCGUGAAGGAAGAGAGGAAAGUGCUAAAGAGGAGAAAGAGGUAUUUUUGCAAAUAAGAGGCAACUUUGAACUUCAAGGGGCUGACUAGAAAACUCAAAUCAUAGUGUUGUAUUUGGAAAUCACCUUAAUGAUUCUAUAAUAAUGCCUAACUUCUGUAAAGGUUUUAUAGUUCUCACCACUAUUACAUUUAUUAGUAAGAACACCCUUGUCAGAUAUGCAUUAGCAGACACCCAUUUUACAGAGGAGUAAAUUGAGGUUAG
rnacentral:lncRNA from 1 species